rnacentral:rRNA from 1 species
CCUACGGGAGGCAGCAGUGGGGAAUAUUGGGCAAUGGAGGAAACUCUGACCCAGCGACGCCGCGUGCGGGAUGAAGGCCUUCGGGUUGUAAACCGCUUUCAGCAGGGAAGAAGCGAAAGUGACGGUACCUGCAGAAGAAGCACCGGCUAACUAUGUGCCAGCAGCCGCGGUAAUACAUAGGGUGCAAGCGUUGUCCGGAAUUAUUGGGCGUAAAGAGCUCGUAGGUGGUUCGUCACGUCGGAUGUGAAAAUCUGGGGCUUAACCCCAGACCUGCAUUCGAUACGGGCGGGCUUGAGUAUGGUAGGGGAGUCUGGAAUUCCUGGUGUAGCGGUGGAAUGCGCAGAUAUCAGGAGGAACACCAAUGGCGAAGGCAGGACUCUGGGCCAUUACUGACACUGAGGAGCGAAAGCGUGGGGAGCGAACAGGAUUAGAUACCCUGGUAGUCCACGCCGUAAACGGUGGGCACUAGUUGUGGGGACCUUCCACGGUCUCUGCGACGCAGCUAACGCAUUAAGUGCCCCGCCUGGGGAGUACGAUCGCAAGAUUAAAACUCAAAGGAAUUGACGG